UCUUGUAGCCAUAUCACCCUGCAACUCACAACGGGCAACCCACUAAAGCUAAGCAGGGGUGAGCCUGGCCAGUACCUGGAGGGGGAGCCUCCUGGGAAAAUUAAGGUUGCUGCUGGAA
rnacentral:rRNA from 1 species